AGAGUUUGAUCCUGGCUCAGAUUGAACGCUGGCGGCAUGCCUUACACAUGCAAGUCGAACGGCAGCACGAGAGCUUGCUCUUGGUGCGAGUGGCGAACGGGUGAGUAAUAUAUCGGAACGUACCCUAAAGUGGGGGAUAACGUAGCGAAAGUUACGCUAAUACCGCAUACGAUCUACGGAUGAAAGUGGGGGAUCGCAAGACCUCAUGCUCAUGGAGCGGCCGAUAUCUGAUUAGCUAGUUGGUGGGGUAAAAGCUCACCAAGGCGACGAUCAGUAGCUGGUCUGAGAGGACGACCAGCCACACUGGAACUGAGACACGGUCCAGACUCCUACGGGAGGCAGCAGUGGGGAAUUUUGGACAAUGGGCGCAAGCCUGAUCCAGCAAUGCCGCGUGAGUGAAGAAGGCCUUCGGGUUGUAAAGCUCUUUUGUCAGGGAAGAAACGGUGGACUCUAAUACAGAUCACUAAUGACGGUACCUGAAGAAUAAGCACCGGCUAACUACGUGCCAGCAGCCGCGGUAAUACGUAGGGUGCAAGCGUUAAUCGGAAUUACUGGGCGUAAAGCGUGCGCAGGCGGUUGUGCAAGACAGAUGUGAAAUCCCCGGGCUCAACCUGGGAAUUGCAUUUGUGACUGCACGGCUAGAGUGUGUCAGAGGGGGGUAGAAUUCCACGUGUAGCAGUGAAAUGCGUAGAGAUGUGGAGGAAUACCGAUGGCGAAGGCAGCCCCCUGGGAUAACACUGACGCUCAUGCACGAAAGCGUGGGGAGCAAACAGGAUUAGAUACCCUGGUAGUCCACGCCCUAAACGAUGUCUACUAGUUGUCGGGUCUUAAUUGACCUGGUAACGCAGCUAACGCGUGAAGUAGACCGCCUGGGGAGUACGGUCGCAAGAUUAAAACUCAAAGGAAUUGACGGGGACCCGCACAAGCGGUGGAUGAUGUGGAUUAAUUCGAUGCAACGCGAAAAACCUUACCUACCCUUGACAUGUCUGGAAUCCUUGAGAGAUCAGGGAGUGCUCGAAAGAGAAUCAGAACACAGGUGCUGCAUGGCUGUCGUCAGCUCGUGUCGUGAGAUGUUGGGUUAAGUCCCGCAACGAGCGCAACCCUUGUCAUUAGUUGCUACGAAAGGGCACUCUAAUGAGACUGCCGGUGACAAACCGGAGGAAGGUGGGGAUGACGUCAAGUCCUCAUGGCCCUUAUGGGUAGGGCUUCACACGUCAUACAAUGGUACAUACAGAGGGCCGCCAACCCGCGAGGGGGAGCUAAUCCCAGAAAGUGUAUCGUAGUCCGGAUUGUAGUCUGCAACUCGACUACAUGAAGUUGGAAUCGCUAGUAAUCGCGGAUCAGCAUGUCGCGGUGAAUACGUUCCCGGGUCUUGUACACACCGCCCGUCACACCAUGGGAGCGGGUUUCACCAGAAGUGGGUAGCCUAACCGCAAGGAGGGCGCUCACCACGGUGGGAUUCGUGACUGGGGUGAAGUCGUAACAAGGUA
rnacentral:rRNA from 1 species